rnacentral:lncRNA from 1 species
CGGGAUUUGGCGGGGGCCUUCGUCGGCUCCAGUUAGAGCUCGGGUCUCCUCGCCACAGCUCCGAGUCUUUCGUUCUGGGAGGCCCAGGCGGCUUCGCGUUCUGAGAAUAAACAGAACCUCUGUUGCUCUGCGACUUGCAGGCACUGGGAGAUUCGUAGCUAAGACGCCAGGGCAUCCCGGAAGCUGGGAAAUGGUCUCCUGCUAGGGUGAGAAGGGACUGAACACUGAGAGGAAAGGAGUUCUGAGAAGAGACCCCCUCCCCGACCCAGCUGCCACCACAUGAUUCCCACCCACUCCUGAACAUACCAACUAGGCAUUGACAUGUCCCCGUCCAUCCCAGGAGAAGGCUUGACUGUCAGGAAUUGCACCCACAGCACCUUUGCUUCCGGUUUCCUGCCAAAAACCCACACAAGUGCCUGAGGACUCCUGGCUUGUUGUAAUCCCAGACACUGAAUCCGUAGCAGCAGCCUAGUUUCUCCAUCAACCUAGGCUUGUGGACCAUCCAAUCAUAAUCUCAUCUGCCUGCGUGGACCCAGGGAUAUGUCAGAGCAUAGUCCCACCUGGGCCAGUAUCUGUAGCACAAACCAGUCCUUCCACCAACUUGGUACUGCCCCCUGCUCAUGGCUCAAUAGCACCUUCCUCUCUUCUGCCUUUUACUUCCCCACAAGCCCCUUCUUUAUGUGUACACGGUGUUCCCAAGGUCACCCCACAGGUGCCUGAAUCCAGCACCUAUUGGAACUCAGAUGUCUGUGAGCUCAAGACCAUGGCGCUAGAUCUGGCUGUUGUAAGAGCAAAUACAAAUUAGAAAUAC